UACAAUAUGGGAUAAAUUUAUAUUGCAAUUUCUGCUCAAUGGUAGUUUUACUAAAUAGCCGCAGUACUCUGACUGUGCAAAGGUAGCAUAAUAAAUUGGCUUAUAAUUAAGGUCUGGGAUGAAAGAAAAACUGGAGAGGGGCUUUAUCCUUUAAAGAUUUCAAACUUACUUAAGUAGUGAAAAUACUACUAGUUAAAUUAAAGACGAGAAGACCCUUGAAAUUUUUAUUAAAUAGAUUUUUCUCUAUUAAUUUUUGUUGGGGCGACAAAGUAACAUUUAAACUUACUAAUUUUACGUGACACUUUUUAAUCGUAAGAUUAAAUUACUCUAGGGAUAACAGCAUAAUAUUUUAAAGUUUGUGACCUCGAUGUUGGACUAGGGACCCUUUGUCUAGAAGACUAUUGGUUAUGCUCUGUUCG
rnacentral:rRNA from 1 species